UACAGAGGGUGCAAGCGUUAAUCGGAAUUACUGGGCGUAAAGCGCGCGUAGGUGGUUUGUUAAGUUGGAUGUGAAAGCCCCGGGCUCAACCUGGGAACUGCAUCCAAAACUGGCAAGCUAGAGUACGGUAGAGGGUGGUGGAAUUUCCUGUGUAGCGGUGAAAUGCGUAGAUAUAGGAAGGAACACCAGUGGCGAAGGCGGCAUCCUGGACCGGCAUUGACGCUGAGUGAGCGAAAGCCAGGGGAGCAAACGGG
rnacentral:rRNA from 1 species